rnacentral:rRNA from 1 species
AGUGAACGCUGGCGGUAGGCCUAACACAUGCAAGUCGAACGGCAGCACAGUAAGAGCUUGCUCUUACGGGUGGCGAGUGGCGGACGGGUGAGGAAUACAUCGGAAUCUACUUUUUCGUGGGGGAUAACGUAGGGAAACUUACGCUAAUACCGCAUACGACCUACGGGUGAAAGCAGGGGAUCUUCGGACCUUGCGCGAUUGAAUGAGCCGAUGUCGGAUUAGCUAGUUGGCGGGGUAAAGGCCCACCAAGGCGACGAUGCGUAGCUGGUCUGAGAGGAUGAUCAGCCACACUGGAACUGAGACACGGUCCAGACUCCUACGGGAGGCAGCAGUGGGGAAUAUUGGACAAUGGGCGCAAGCCUGAUCCAGCCAUACCGCGUGGGUGAAGAAGGCCUUCGGGUUGUAAAGCCCUUUUGUUGGGAAAGAAAAGCAGCAGGUUAAUACCCCGCUGUCCUGACGGUACCCAAAGAAUAAGCACCGGCUAACUUCGUG